rnacentral:rRNA from 1 species
ACGAACGCUGGCGGCGUGCUUAACACAUGCAAGUCGCACGGUAAGGCCCCUUCGGGGGUACACGAGUGGCGAACGGGUGAGUAACACGUGAGCAACCUGCCCUUGACUCUGGAAUAACAGUUGGAAACAGCUGCUAAUACUGGAUAUUCAUCGUCUCCUUCCUGGGGGGUGGUGGAAAGCUCCGGCGGUCAGGGAUGGGCUCGCGGCCUAUCAGCUUGUUGGUGAGGUAAUGGCUCACCAAGGCUUCGACGGGUAGCCGGCCUGAGAGGGCGACCGGCCACACUGGGACUGAGAUACGGCCCAGACUCCUACGGGAGGCAGCAGUGGGGAAUAUUGCACAAUGGGCGCAAGCCUGAUGCAGCAACGCCGCGUGCGGGAUGACGGCCUUCGGGUUGUAAACCGCUUUCAGUAGGGACGAAGGGUGACUGACGGUACCUACAGAAGAAGGACCGGCUAACUACGUG